rnacentral:lncRNA from 1 species
CGUAGAAGGGCAAAUAAUGGCGUCCUCCGGCCAGCAGNNNNNNNNNNNNNNNNNNNNNNNNNNNNNNNNNNNNNNNNNNNNNNNNNNNNNNNNNNNNNNNNAGGGUUAGGGGUUAGGGUUUAGGGGUUAGGGCUAGGUCUAGGAUUAGGGUAUAGGGUUAGGGUUUAUGGUUAUAGUUUAGGGUUCGGGUUUAGGAGUCAGGGGUUAGGGUUAGAGUUUAGGCUUAGGGUUUAGGGUUAGGAUUGUUAGGCCUAGGGUAAGGCCUAGGCCUUGGGUUAGACCUACGCUUAGGCCUAGGCCUAGGGUUAGUCCUAGGGUUAGGGUUAGGGUUUAGUGUUAGUGUUAGAAGGUUAGGGUUAGGGUUUGGGCUUGGGUUAGGGUUUAGGGUUAGGAUUUUUAGGCCUAGGGUUAGGCCUAUGGUUAGAUCUAGGGUUAGGGUUAGGGUUAGGGUUAGGGUUAGUGUCAGGGACAGGGACAGGGUCAGUGUCAGGGUUAGGGUUACCCCAGAGCGGAACCCCAGAGCGGACGGGCGGACGGGUUAGGGUUUGGGUUAGGGAUAGGGAUAUGGUUUGGGUUAAGGUUCGGGUUUAGGUUAGGGUUUGUUUUAGGAGCAGGAUUUAGGGUUAGGUUUAGGCUUAGGCUUAGGGUUUAGGGUUAAGUUUAGGGUUAGGAUUAGGUUUAGGUUUAGGGUUAGGUUUAGGGUUAGGGUUUGGGUUAGGGAAAGGGAUAGGGUUAGGGUUUCGGUUAAGUAUAGGGGUAGGGUUUGGGUUAGGGUUAGGGUUUAGGUUAGGGUUUGGGUUAGGGGCAGGAUUUAGGGUUAGGGUUAGGUUUAGGCUUAAGCUUAUGGUUUAGGGUUAGGGUUAGCGUUUUGGCUUCCAGUAUUGUUUGUGCAUUCCCAUGUUGUUUUGCAAUCUUUUCUCUUUUCAUUAGUUUUAUAAUUAAAGUUUUUCAAAGCAUGCCUCCCUGUUUUCAGUUUUCUCCUACGCCCUGAGAUUUAGCCGACCUUGUUUUCUUUUGCUCUUUGUCAAGUCUUUUUGAUACAAGCUGUGUGCAGCUUUGAUACGAGCUUGUUUGUCCCCUAUGACAUGGAUGAUUUUGCUGAAUCUCCGUGAUGCCUUGAAAAGGGCUGUGCUCGGGGACCGUGGCAGCAUUUUGGUAUCUGAUACAGAUUUUCCUGUUCUGGCAUACAGUGAAUUUCUUUGAUAUGUCUAUUAAGACUGUAACUGUCUUCCUGCUUUGAGUAAGGAGUUGGAAGAUGAAAGGUUAGUGUUCAUUUCCUCCCACAU